rnacentral:lncRNA from 1 species
CUUCGGGUAAAUAUGUCUUGAUUCUACGGUAUGGAGACACUGAAGUGAGAGUACAGGUAUUCAUUGAGAACAAGAGUACUGAGCGUGACCAUAUCAAGCAGUCAUAAGGAAGUCUACCUUCUCAUCGAUGACUAGCUCGAUGCUGCAGUUGUGUGUCUAGUUUUUUGACCUGAGGUGCAUCGAUAGUUCACCUUGAGUGUGUUAUAGUUUGACUAUACUAUAACUCGAUCUCC